GACGAACGCUGGCGGCGUGCUUAACACAUGCAAGUCGAGCGGUAAGGCCCUUUCGGGGGUACGACGAGCGGCGAACGGGUGAGUAACACGUGGGUGACCUCGCCCUCAGCUCUGGGAGUAAGCCUGGGAAACCGGGGUACUAAUACCGGAUAUGACUCCAUGACGCAUGUUGUGGGGUGGAAAGCCUUGUGCGGCUGAGGAUGGGCCCGCGGCCUAUCAGCUUGUUGGUGGGGGGA
rnacentral:rRNA from 1 species